rnacentral:lncRNA from 1 species
UGUCAAUUGGAGGUACUUCCCGGUUAAGGGAGGGACCUGUGUCCACUUCCUGCUCUCAGCACUGGGAUACAAACCUGCAUAGGUUUGGACCUAUGCAGGCCCUGUGCGUGUUGCCACAGUGUCCAUUGGCUUGGAAAUUGCUGUGUAGACCGGCUUGUCCUUGAACUCACAGAGCUCUACCAGCUUCUGCCUCAGGAGCUUGCUUGUCUUCAUUAAGUUCACAGGGAACAGCUAUUCCUGUCUACGGAUUGGUCCAAGCAACGUGGAAAAUCAGGUGGUUUCAAGAAAAAUGGUUGUCAUCUCUAUAAUUAAUGACUAUAGACAUGUGG